rnacentral:lncRNA from 1 species
UCAAAUCGUGAAUCCUUUUGAUCUUUCUUUCUUGAUUCUUGAAGAAGCCAAGAAUCUUUCUUGAUCUCUUAACUAAUCAAGAACAACCACAACUAAGAAGUGGUUGUAACUAACUCUCAACAAACUUGAAAGAAAGGGAAGAAACUAUGAACCUUGUGGCGCCAAUCGUUGACACCAACAAAGGAUGUCGCCCACUUCUCUCUAAGAUUCAAAAAGGGGAUGCCUAGAGAGAGAGAGGGAAUGGGCUAGAGAGAGAAAGAGGAGAGGAGGUGUGAGCACAGUAACAGGUGGCAAUAAGGAUGGG